AAAAAGCUCCAAAUUGGGCCGCCUGGGUUGCGCAGUCCGGUUAGCGAUCCGACUUCAGACCAGGUCACGAUUCUCGCGGUCCGUGAGAUUCGAGCCCGC